rnacentral:rRNA from 1 species
GGGUUGUGAGGUUAAGCGACUAAGCGUACACGGUGGAUGCCCUGGCAGUCAGAGGCGAUGAAGGACGUGCUAAUCUGCGAAAAGCGUCGGUAAGGUGAUAUGAACCGUUAUAACCGGCGAUGUCCGAAUGGGGAAACCCAGUGCAAUUCGUUGCACUAUCGUUAACUGAAUACAUAGGUUAACGAGGCGAACCGGGGGAACUGAAACAUCUAAGUACCCCGAGGAAAAGAAAUCAACCGAGAUUCCCCCAGUAGCGGCGAGCGAACGGGGAGCAGCCCAGAGUCUGAAUCAGCUUGUGUGUUAGUGGAACGGUCUGGAAAGUCCGACGGUACAGGGUGAUAGUCCCGUACACCAAAAUGCACAGGUUGUGAACUCGAAGAGUAGGGCGGGACACGUGGUAUCCUGUCUGAAUAUGGGGGGA